rnacentral:rRNA from 1 species
GACGAACGCUGGCGGCGUGCUUAACACAUGCAAGUCGAACGAAGUGGCGAACGGGUGAGUAAUACGUGGGUAACCUGCCCUCCUUUUUGGGAUAAGCCUUGGAAACGGGGUCUAAUACCGAAUAAAGGGGGAUGGGCUGGCGGCCUAUCAGCUUGUUGGUGGGGUGAUGGCCUACCAAGGGGGUUACGGGUCGCCGGGCUGAGAGGGUGACCGGCGACAUUGGGAACGAGGUACGGCACAGAGUCCUACGAGGGGAAGCAGUGGGGAAGAUUGCACAAUAGGCGAAAGGCUGAUGCAGCGACACCGCGUGGGGGAUGAAGGCUUUCGGGUUGUAAACCUCUUUAGCGAGCGAACGGAUGGGUGGAGAAGAGGCGCCAGCUAACUACGUGCCAGCAGCCGCGGUAAUUC